ensembl:misc_RNA Metazoa_SRP Metazoan signal recognition particle RNA
GCCAGGUGCAGUGGCAUGUGCCUAUAGUUCCAGUAACUUGGGAGGAUGAGGUGGAAGGAUCCCUUUAGCCUAGACGCUCUGGGCUUGUAGUGUGUUGUGCCGCCAAUCAGCUGUUCACAUUAAGUUCAGUAUCAAUAUAGUGACCUCCUGGGAGCGGGGGACCACCAGGUUACCUAAGGAGGAGAGAACUGGCCCAGGUCAGAAACAGAGCAAGUCAAAAUACAGGUGCUGAUCAGUCGCAAGAUAGUGCCUAUGAACAACCACUGCACUCCAGCCUGGGCAACAUAGCAAUACAUGUCUCUA